UGCUUCUCACCUCUCUGGGGGUGAGAACAAUGUCUGGCUCUGCUGUAUUUGAAACCACUGUGAAACUCAUAUUUCAAAGGGAAAUGGCUUCCGGCUCCUUCAGAAGGCGAAGGAUGUCUGGAGGCCUGUCCAGCUCCUCCUCAAUGGCUGUGGGAAUCUUCUUCUGCCUACAACCAGGAAUACACAAUGGGAGGUAAAGACAUCAAUUUGAGGGUAGGGUGGAAAACAAGCAAUUUAUUUUUCUUUUGCACAAGGAGAUUUCUCUCACUCCAAGAGGGAGCGGUAGUUUGGGCAGUGGUUUUGGUUCCUGAUCCUCCAGUUUUGUGGUCAGCAAAAGUAUUUGAAGGGGAUCACAUAACCACGUAAGCUCUCCCGAAGGCUUUGGAGGAACUGUGGCAUGGACGUUGUCAAAUCAAAUAAGGUGCUCUAAGCAUGAAGAAGGAACCUCCCUUUCUCGGGGGUCUGAAAUUGGAAUAAGGCUUCAAUGCCGCUCUUGUCCAGAAUGCAGAGACCCAUGGCCAGCCAACGGGCCAUGCCUUCCCCCUUCCUGGCUUGUCUGUUGCAAAAACGAGAAGGAAGGGAACAUUCCACACCCACAAAGCUGAACACCCCAGGAUGAUUCAGGAUCCAGCUGCAGGAGAAAGCUGAAGACCCAAGGGACUAGUGCAUUGCAACCUUGAAUUGGAUUGGUAGAUUGCAAAGACAGAGCUUUUGCUUUCUGUUGUUCCACAUCUCUAAUUGCUAAGCGCCAAUCUCGACUUCACCAACCCCAUUAUCGUUACCAUGACUUCAAAGCAAACAUCCGUCCUAAUUUUCUCCGAUGGAAAUGGCUCUAACUCAGCAACUCCCAUCCAAGGCUAUUUGAAAGCAGCUGCACCUUAAACGGAUGAAGAAAACACUGUGUCGGUCUCAUCAUUUGUUACUAGCAUACCUACCACUGCUUUGGAAAGCUACCAAGCCACGGAAUGGUUGGUGCUGUAAACACGCAACCCAAUUUAGGCGACAAUAAAUCCGGGUAGCUUUAUUUCUCAUCGUAUCCAGCAUCUUCAAUAUCUGAACGUACAUGAAGAUUUUUUUUUUAUUCCUGGAGUGUUCAUUUGAUACAGAUAGCAUGUUUAAAUUGCAAGAAAAGUCUUUGUGACAAAUUAUGUAAAGGGCAUACUGUUAAGAAGAAUGUAGCAUAAAAAAAGAAUUUUUCAAGCAGGCAGCAUCUCAAGCCCACCAAAACCUCACACAUAAUUUUGUAAAGCAGCAAAAAUCACAACGAGCAGAGAAACUAUUUUUUUUUUUAAAAAAAAGUUUGAUUCUAUAAAGUAGCAACAGAUACUGUUCAAUUGCUGAAAUAAUUACAUUUCUAAUUGUUAUAUUCAACUGUCUUUCAGGGAUGACUGAGCGCAUAAAUAAUCAGGAAAUUAAAAAGGGCAAGUGGGCUUAUUUCUAUGAUUCUGUGAGAAAAUAUUCUGAAAAAUACAAGAGAUUGCAGCAGGUAUCUCUGCCAGAAGCAAAGUGGGCUAGUUCUAAAAUCCAAAACGAAACAAUGCAUAGUUUAGUUAAUCAUGCAAAGCAGUGGUGGUAGUGGUGGGUUUCAAAUUUUUUUACUACUGGUUCUGUGGAUGUGGCUUGGUGGGCGUGGCAUGGCUUGGUGGGUGUGGCUUGGUGGGUAUGGCAGGGGAAGGAUACUGUAAAAUCUCCAUUCCCUUCCCACUCCAGGGGAAGGUUACUGCAAAAUCCCCAUUUCCUCCCGAUCAGCUGGGACUCGGGAGGCAGAGAAUAGAUGGGGUGGGGCCAGUCAGAGGUGAUAUUUACCGGUUCUCCAAACUACUCAAAAGUUCCGCUACCGGUUCUCCAGAACUGGUCAGAACCUGCUGAAUACCACCUCUGAUGCAAAGGAUACUAAAAACAAACACACACACCCCAUCUUGUGGAGAGCACUGAUGAAAGUACUUAGGGUCGAUUUGCUGACUGAAGGAAGAAGGUGAAUGUGAUGUCUCCAUGGAGUUACACUGGAUGCUGGGUGAUUGCAUCCAAGUAUCCAGGAUAGUGCUAUAGAAGUGGUUUAUUAUUGUUGUCUUUGGCUGCUGUGUUUUUUUUUUUUUAAAUACCCAGUCUAUCCUACAGCUCUAAUCUUUCCAGGUAGUUUCUGAUCUAACUAUUAACCAUGCCUGAUCCAGAGGUGGGCUGCUGAGGGUUCACAGGGGUUCGGGAGAACCUCUAGCUAAGAUUCUGUGCAGUUUGGAGAACCCUCAAAUUCCACUCUUGGCUGGCCCUGCCCGCUCCUCCCCUCCCCUCCCCUCCCCUCCCCUCCCAGGAGUCCUAUGUGCCCCGUUAUGGAUGCAGGUAUGUGCAGGGUGCGUGCGGAGGCUUGGUGAGGGCAAAAAACGGGCCUACCAGAAGUUUGGGAAGGCCGGAAACGGGCCUUUAGAGGGCCUCUGGAGCCUGGGGAGCCUGUUUUCGCCUGCCCGGAGGCUCAAGGAAAGCUUCCAGAGCCAGGGGAGGGCAAAAACACCGCCCUGCCGUGGUGCAGGAGGCUGACUAGGACACGCCCACCAUGGCCACGCCCACCCAGGAACCAGGCAGAGAAACCCUUGCUAAAAUUUUUGAAGCUGAUUCUAUGAAGUGUGGCCUAGACAAAGUCAGCUGAGUGUUGCCACGUGCUGUGAUCAGCACAAGCAAAGGCACUGAAAGUUAACAGUUGCUUUUUGAUGCCUGGCAAACAUGAAACAUGAAAUAUCUGUGGGUAGGUUAGAGCAUUCACCAACUGUUCUGACAUCUGAAUGUUUCUUAACGCUGAUGAGCUUCCGCUUACAUUUUUACAAGCUAAUUGCUCAGCCAUAUGAUGGGGUAUCUGUUAUGAAAGGCACGUCCUGGGGUAUUCAAGCUUCUCUCUCAGAAAUCUUGAUCAAAACAUGUUGUUUCUUCGUUGCUUUAAUCUAGCUGGAUUUGUUGGUUGAGGCAUAAAGGAAUGUUUAGAUGUGUACAGUUGUUAUGGCUUUUACAUAAAAAAAAGGGACAUGUUGCUUGGAUUUACAGAAGCUCUUCUUUCAAAUGAUUGCUGGUUCAGCGAUUGACUGAAUACUUGGAUUCAGACAGAGUUAAGCACUCAGACAAAGAAAGUAUUAUUUGCCUCUCGAGUUAAUUGGAGUGUCUUCCCCUUGAGAAAAUGUGAUCAUCUGAAAACUGAAGCAAUUGGAUUGCUCAGUCAAAUCUGUGGGGUUUCUUCCUUUUUUUUUUUUCUUUUGCAAAUGUUGAAAAUAACAUCACUGAGGAGGAGAAAAACAUGUAUUUUGAGGUUGCAUUGAAAUAUGUUGAUUGGGUGGGGAAGUGUGUGCCAGAAAUGAGAGCUGAGACUGUAUUCAGGCAACACUUUGGAGAAUUCAAGAAGCUCAUUAAUUUGCUAAAUAUAAUUGAUUGAUUAUGUGCUGUCAGAUUGUUUUUGACUCCUAAUGAUUACACAGAUUCUUCUCCGUGAUCACGUAUUACAUCCAUAGCCUGGUGUUGCAGGUCUUGCAACAAUGCACUCCUGACCACUGUAACCGAGUCCAUCCACUUUGGUGCUGCUCAUUCUCUUCUUUUUCUUUCCACUUUUCCCAGCUUUCUCCAGAGGGCUGGGUCCAGUGGUGAAAUCCAAUUGUUUUUACUACCGGUUCUAUGGGCGUGGCUUGGUGGGCGUGGCUUGGUGGGCGUGGCAGGGGAGGGAUACUGCAAAAUCCCCAUUCCCUCCCCACUCCUGGGGGAAGGAUAUUGCAAAAUCUCCAUUCCCACCCCACUCUGGGGCCAGCCAGAGGUGGCAUUUGCCGGUUCUCUGAACUACUCAAAAUUUCCGCUACCGGUUCUCCAGAACCUGUCAGAACCUGCUGGACUUCACCCCUGGCUGGGUAUUUGCAUAUUGUGUCCAAAUUUCUAAUCAUAAAUGACCAUCAAAAUUUCUUCAUUUCAAAAUUUCAAAAUUUCUUCACUUUCCUCCUGAGUCCCAGCUGAUGGCUAGAGGGAAAAAAGCUGUUUAAACUCUUGCCGUGGGGCUUCAAAGGGCCGCCCUACAGCUGAUCAGUGUUAAAAGAAAACAAAUGACGGUGCCUGCAAAAAUAAAUGGGUAGAUCAGUGCCUGCAAAAAUACAUGAGUAGAUCAGUGCCUGCAAAAUACAUUAGAUCAGUGCCUUCAAAAAUACAUGAGUAGAUCAGUGCCUGCAAAAAUAAAUGGGUAGACCAGUGCCUGCAAAA